GUUAGUUGACUCUGUUGGUCUUCUUGUGGG
rnacentral:piRNA from 1 species